rnacentral:lncRNA from 1 species
AAUGACUAUCUAAGCCCAUGUCAGUGAGAUCUUGCAGUCACUCCAUAAAGAGAUGGAGUCUAUAUUCUCUUGUCUUGAUGCUUUGAACUCAUUUUGGUGAGUACACUGUCAAAAGUUGAAUGUAUGCCAAUUCCUAGCCUAGUGUUCAAGAGGCCUUUCAAAUUUCCACUUGCCUUCUUGGAACUUUAGCAUUAACUGGGGAACAAGCCUGGGACAGUUUCCAGAAAAAAGUUAGCAUAGCGGGUCUGAAGUUACUAUCCUUGGAAAGACUUGCUUGCAAGAUGGGCCCUAAACUGGCAUCUGAAAACUUGGAUUUCUCAAAUAUUCCUCCCACUGAAACUAUUAAGAGUGGCUCACUGUGCUUAAAAUAUUUGUUUAAGCAAUAUGGUUUAUGUUGAACUCCUGCUUUUGUUCUGAGAGUGUGGAAUUUUGGUAUGUGCCAGGUAGAGGGUACGUAAUUACAUGACCAGCCCCUACCACAAAUCCUGGGCAUUGAGUCUCCAGUGAAAUUCCCUGGUAGACAACAUUUCAGAUGUGUUGUCACAGUUCAUUGCUGGAGGAAUUAAGCACAGUCCUAUGUGAUUCGACUAAGAGAGGACUCUGAAACUUGUACCUUGUCUCCUGAGGACUUUGCCUCACAGGCCUUUGCUUUUGCUGAUUUUACUUUGUAUCCUUUUGCAUAAUAAACCACAGCCACGAGUUUGACUAUUUGCUGAGGCUUUUGUGAGUUCUCCUAGUGAAUCACUGAAUCUCUGGAGUCGUCUUGGGAAUCCCUGGCAUGGAUAGACUGCUGAGGAAUGAAAGACAACAUGAAUCAGAGAAAAUUUUCCCACUUGAGGUUAUCUUAAAUCAGCUAACAGUCAGCUAACUGCCAGAUGUGAGUGAGCCCCAGAUGAGCAUCCAGAGAUGGGAGCAAGUUUGGAUUAUUUUCAGGGUUAAGGUUGAUUAUCUUAUUCUCCUUUCCCCUGGCACACAACGGGUGCUUAGUUGGGCAUUAAAUAUGUGGCUGAUUGGCUUAGCUAUUUAGUAAUGUGUGCUAACAUCAGUGCUGAUUACCAGAAUUUCUUUCUUCAAAAUAAAAUAGCCAGGAAGAAUUGCUUCACAGAGCAUCUUGAGGAAUCAUCACAGCAAAACUAGGGGUAAGAAAAUAGUCCUCCUUCGGCUGAAUCAGUCCAGUGCCAUAACGUAGGUGAGAACAGGCAAUAUUAGGUAGAUAGGCAGCACUUAAUUAAGAUAAAGUUCAGAAUGAGCCUUAAGCUACUAUUCCCCCAGGACCCCUGUUCCAUCACCUCAUGCAACUUAGGCACCCAUACAUGUGGGAAGGGAAUGGAAAUUGCAGAAAAUGAAUCAAAAUGAUGAAGAUGAGGAUGGUUACAAUUAAAUAAAUGUGCACAUUGGUAAACUGCUCCUGUCAUUUGAAUCAAUACUUCCUUCUUGAUCUCAGAGUGCUGCUAUUCUUCAUUAUAGGACAAUAAUGUAUAAGAAUUAGGUAAGAAGAACUGAUAUAUAAUUAUAUGUCUUUUUGGAGGAUCUUAAAAAGAAGACAUUUGAAUUUUUCACAUAAAUCAAUACAUAUACAAAAAUGUCUUAAAAUGAUUCAAAUUUAGUGAAAGAAGUACAUGAUUACAUAGCUCUUUUAUAAAAUAUGAAAAAUCUGGAGGGUGUUUAAGAUAUAAUAACAUUAUUACAUAUUAAUUUGAGCUUAUUCUUCAAGAAAAAAAUCGUAAUUACUAUCAUAUGAAUUUGUAACCAUAAAAUGUUAUAUCACAAGUUUUUAUUCAUUAGCCCAGGUUAAAUACAUAAUUUGAACAAAUUGAAGAGGAAUUAUAGGGUCCCUGGGUGGCCCAAUGGGUAAAGCUUCCAACUCUUGAUUUUGGCUCUUGUCAUGAUCUCAGGAUCCUGGCAUCAAGCCCCAGUGCAGGCUCUGCACUUGGGAGUGGAGUCUGCUUGUCCCUCUCACUCUGCUUUCCUCUCCCUGGAAUAAAAAAUAAAAUCUUAAAAAAAAAAAAAAAAAACAACAGGAAUUACAAGGAGGGUAGAGGGGUUUGAGGAGCACUCUUGGCUCACUGUCUUUUGAUUUUCUAUCUCUCUAUGUAAGUGACUCAAUUGUAAAUGAAAGACAAAUUACUCUUGAACAUAGAAUCGUGAUUUUUUUUUUUUUUUUGUUUUGGUUGUUAAUUCCCUAGUUAGGUACUGGGGAGAAGGCCCAGUCUAAAAAUUUAAUCUUGCUCAAGGUAAAUGUGAUGGUUAAUUUUAUGUGUCAAUCUAGAUGGUGUUUUGGAUGAGCUUAACAUUUUAAUUGAUAAACUUUGAAAAAGCAGAUUGCUUUCCACAAGGUGAGUGGGCUUAUCUAAUUAAUUGAAGGCCUGAAUAGAACAAAAAGACCAGCCUCUAUGAGCCAGAGGCAUAUUCUCUAGCAGACUGCUUUUGGGCUUUAUCUUCACCAUUGGCUUUCUGGGGUCUUUAGCCUGCUGACCCACACUACAGAUUGGGGUUUGCUAGCCUUCAUAAUUGUGGAAGACAGUUUCUUGUAAUAAAUUUCCUUUUACUUACAUACAUCUGAUUGGCUCUGUUUCUAUGGAGAACCCUAACUAAUAUAAACUUUGGUACUGAGGGGUUCUAGAAAGACUUAAACAUCAAGAAUGGAGAAACCUGACCAAUACAGUAGUAAAUAUAAAUGGAAUUUUGAAAGCUUGAGCCAAUUAACUAAAAGAUGCAAUUAACUAAAAGAUGGCCUUGAAAAUUUGGAAGGUCUGCAACAGACUUCAUGGAUGUCACAAAGUAGGUCCCAGGCUUACGCUGAAGACAUAAAUAGGAACAAUUAAGCUGACACUGCUCCACAUAAUGGGACGUUUAAUGUCAGAAGGCCUGGCGUGUUGAGUCUAUUAUUAUGAGUCCUUGUUAACAAGGGCCACUGGCUGUCCCCAUAGGUAAGCAUAAGGCCAAUCUACCCUUUAUCUCCAAUAUAUCUUUCUAAAACUAAAGAAAUGAGUCAAGUGCAGCAUGGAUCUUCAGCCAUUUUCACCAAAACCUUUUUAAAUGAGCUUGGAAGUCUACAUAUUAUCCCUACUUAAUCUCUCAUCUUAAAUUACCCCAGUCCUGCCACCUGGGUGGCUCAGUCAGUUAAGCAUCCAACUCUUGAUUUCAGCUCAGGUUAUGAUCUCAGGGUAGUGAGAUGGAACACGCCAAAGGGCUCCACAGUGGGCUCCAUGCUGAGUGUGGAACCUAGCUGGGAUUCUUCCUCUCUCCUUCUGCCCCUUCACUCUUGCUUAAGUGUACAGACUCUACAUAAAUAAUGAAAAUUGAAUUACUCCUGUUGUUCUGUCCAUUUUUGCUCACCAGGAAAACCCAUAUAAUCCAAAUAAUUAAGUUUAGCAAAAUUAAAAUGCUCACAAUGUAAAUUUGAACCACUUUCUAUGAUUACAUUCCUGCAAAAAAUUAAAAUCCCAUUAACAAAUUCUCCCUUUCCCUUGAAAAAGUUAAAGACCCAUGACACUAGGCAGCUGGUAGCAUUGGUAGGGGCAUAGUUUGUGACUCUCCAGGAAUCUCCAUGUAAAACUAAACAGAGAGACUAGAUUGCAUCUAAAAUCCCAUGUACAACCCUUUCAAAAAAUAUUAAGAUAACCCUAAAAUUUAAGCAAGUGAAAACAAAUCUUUCACGUGAACGUGACUUCAGGGUUUCAGCAUUUGUGUAGAAAGAAGAAGAGGUAAGAGAUAGUGUCUACUUUACCUGAGAAGAGAAAAAUGUGAAAAUAGCCAGUAAGCAUUUACAGAAAGGCAGGGAGGGUCCAUUUGCAAACAAAAGCUGAAAUCAGAAAGGAUUUUUGUUAGUUGGAAUAGCUUUGAGUACUAGGAGUCCACCAUACAAAGAUGAAGGAUCUGCCCCCAUGUGGCCCCUGAGAACUGUUUUGGUUUCAUUUUUUAAGAUUUUAUUUAUUUAUUUUUGAGAGAGAGCAAGAGAGCAGGAGCACAGGAGUAGGGAGGAGGGGGAGGGGCAGAGGGAGAAGGAGACUUCCCACUGAACUGGGAGCCCAACAGGGCGCUAGAUCCCAGGACCCCAGGAUCGCGACCUGAGUCCAAGGUAGCCACUUAACCGAAUGAGCCACCGUCGGUUGUUUUUUUUUUUUUAUGAAAAUUAAUUGAGAUAUUUAAUAGUGAAAACCAUAAUUUCAUCUGAAUAUAAAUGUAUGCACAUGUUUCCAAUGAGUUAUCUAUCAGUUAUCACAAACAGCAACAAGGACCUUAGAGCUAUGUUAGAAAAAUGUAUAGCUGGGUUUUAACUCUACAAUCUCACUUGCUCUGAAGAGAACACCAUCCAUUUCAAAUUAGUGUCACAAACUCCAAGGCACCUUUUGAAACACACCAACCGAGGGCCCCCUUCCAGGCCAGGGUCCUGCAUUGAAGACAAACUGAUGGAAGCGGAAUCAAAAUUGAGUGGCACAUUGAGAAUGCGGGAGUUACAAGGCCCAGAUCAAAGCAGGAAGGAGACAAAAACAAGAAUCUGCAUAAAGCAAGUGGCUGUAUAAUUAAAUGAAGAAGCUUGGGAGGUUAGAAAGCUCCCUGAAACCCUGCCUCCUGUAAAAAGUUCAGAAAAAUUAAUUUCACAUAAAAAUGAGUAACAGAAAGUGAUUUUGAAGUCAAAUCCCAUACAAAGAUAUUUUGAGAAAAUGAGGGGGCGGGCACUAAGGACGCUGACAUCCUUGAGCAAACACUAUGAAAUAUAUGUGAGACAUACAUCCCCCAAGCUGAUCAAAACCAUAACUUAUUCAUUCAAAAUAAGCCAGAAAACUUAAAGAAAAUGAUACAAGUUUGAAGGAUGAUGUAAAUCAGAACUCAGGAAAAUAUUAGAAAUAAAAGAAAAAAUAUUUCAGCAUUCAAGGCAAAGUUUGAAGAACUUUGAAGGAAUAUAAGAACAAACUUAACAGUUAAUGACUUAAGAGAGUGCAAAAAAUUUAAAAUCAAAAAUAAAGAAAUAGGUAAAAAGAAUUUGAAAGAAAGUGACAAACAUUGAACCUAGACAAAGAUUGUAAUAUGGAUAACCUUAGUUUCGGAAGAAGAACCAAACUAUGUUUGUACACAUAGUUAUAAACAUAGAUAUGAUGAAAAUAGUUUUUACUUUGAUGUUUUCAUUCCUUAACUAUUAACAUCAUUAAUUUAAUUUUAUCACCAAUGUAUUUGCUAAAUUUUAUCAUCAAUUUGAUAAUUUUUUGACAGUCCACUUGGGCAUUCUAAAUCAACAGCCUUGAGAAGUGCUAAUACGGACAACUUUAUGUUUUCAUUGCUAAUACUUAUGACUUUUAUUACACAUACAUUUUUCUGGGUUUAUAACUGGUAUUAAUACAUUACAGUUUUAAAUGGAUAAGGCUGUAGUGGGUUUUUUUCCAAAUUAAAAAAAAUGCUUUUAAUAUUUCAUGGUUAAUGUUUGUAAUAUUUUAGAUGCUCUUUAAAAAGUUAAAUAAAUUCUCUUCUAC